AUUGAACGCUGGCGGCAUGCCUUACACAUGCAAGUCGAACGGUAACAGGUCUUCGGAUGCUGACGAGUGGCGAACGGGUGAGUAAUACAUCGGAACGUGCCUAGUAGUGGGGGAUAACUACUCGAAAGAGUGGCUAAUACCGCAUGAGAUCUACGGAUGAAAGCAGGGGAUCGCAAGACCUUGUGCUACUAGAGCGGCCGAUGGCAGAUUAGGUAGUUGGUGGGAUAAAAGCUUACCAAGCCGACGAUCUGUAGCUGGUCUGAGAGGACGAUCAGCCACACUGGGACGGGGACAAGGCCCAGACUCCUACGGGAGGAAGCAGUGGGGAAUUGUGGACAAUGGGCGCAAGCCUGAUCCAGCAAUGCCGCGUGCAGGAUGAAGGCCUUCGGGUUGUAAACUGCUUUUGUACGGAACGAAAAGCCCCGGGUUAAUACCCUGGGGUCAUGACGGUACCGUAAGAAUAAGCACCGGCUAACUACGUGCCAGCCGCCGCCGUAA
rnacentral:rRNA from 1 species